ACAGUGGGGAAUUUUGGACAAUGGGCGAAAGCCUGAUCCAGCAAUGCCGCGUGCAGGAUGAAGGCCUUCGGGUUGUAAACUGCUUUUGUACGGAACGAAACGGUUCUCCUUAAUACGGAGGGCUAAUGACGGUACCGUAAGAAUAAGCACCGGCUAACUACGUGCCAGCAGCCGCGGUAAUACGUAGGGUGCGAGCGUUAAUCGGAAUUACUGGGCGUAAAGCGUGCGCAGGCGGUUAUAUAAGACAGAUGUGAAAUCCCCGGGCUCAACCUGGGACCUGCAUAUGUGACUGUAUAGCUAGAGUACGGUAGAGGGGGAUGGAAUUCCGCGUGUAGCAGUGAAAUGCGUAGAUAUGCGGAGGAACACCGAUGGCGAAGGCAAUCCCCUGGACCUGUACUGACGCUCAUGCACGAAAGCGUGGGGAGCAAACAGGAUUAGAUACCCUGGUAGUCCACGCCCUAAACGAUGUCAACUGGUUGUUGGGUCUUCACUGACUC
rnacentral:rRNA from 1 species